GGAUGCUAUCAACAUGAUUUAAAAGCUCAAACCGGUGAUAAGGCUUUAACAAAUAAAUUUUUUAAAUUGGUCCACCUGACUUAAAAAAGGUUUUUAAUAAAUUAAAAGCUGUUACUAAACUCUACGGUAUCUUCCAUCUCAUAACGCGAAGAUCCCUUCUCUUCAUUGUUGGUAAACCUUCACUGUCGUCGCAGCUACGCUGAGCCUUGCCGCGACCACCACCUACAACCUCCUUGCUUCAACCUUCUCUGGUUUUUCUAUUCUCAUCUCCACGCAAUUUGUAGAUGUCAGAUCUAGGGUUUGCGAUUCGAACGUAGAAGAAUCGUUAUCUCGCAGAUCUACACAAAGUUUUCAACAUUACUGCAGUUUUCUUUGGAGCUUGGUGUGAGCUUCCAGUGACUGCGAUUCAUUUGUUUUGUUUCAAGCUGGGUAUGGAGUUUUUGAUUGUGUCCUUUCUCUUGUUUCGUUGCUCCCUGUUGUUGUUUUGCUAAUUAGUUUUGGCAUGGAUUAUAAAUGGCAUAUGGCAUAUUACUUCAAAAAGCACCGUCUAUGACUGGCCAAACUCAUUUAAAUUACCUUCAGGAUACUCUACUUUUCUGGUUCUUACAUGAACAAGUUUCAACCUUUGAAUGAUCCAUAAGUAAACAAAACGCUGCAAUUCCUUGGAGGGGCAGACCUUAGUCUCUCUUAUGAUAGGAAAAGUUGUGUACUGCCAAUACUUUACGGGCAUUUUUAAUCUCAUACCAGAAUGAGGCUAUGGUUCAUUUUGACCCGAAAAUUGUACAUGCACCUCCAACAACCUGUUAAAGGGCAUCGAUACAUAUACUCCUCUCCUAGUCUCAAUAAACAUGAAAGGUUCAAGUAAUGUUUACUGCAGUUGAUUCAGUUCAUGCUUUGGGCCAUAGUGAGGUUAUUGGCAAGGAGGAAAAAUAGAAAGCCGUUGAUAAGACUUUGCAAAUUCUAGGUUCUAAAGCUAGUGAAUUGCUUUCUUCUAGUAAGCUUGUCCAUGUCAUGUUAAUAGCUUACAUGACGAGACAUUGCGGUCCAGAAUUAUUUUGUAAUUUGACAUGUACUAGUAAGCACACAUUAAGUUUUAGUUAAUUAAUAUUGUUGUUUUUUACCUUCAUUGAUCAUAUAAUAUUUCAUAUUAGUGGUUAU
rnacentral:lncRNA from 1 species